rnacentral:tRNA from 2 species
GGCCCGUUAGUCAAGUGGUUUAAGACACCGGCCUUUCACGCCGGUAACAGGGGUUCGAAUCCCCUACGGGUCACCA